GAUACCAUUUUACUUUGUAAUAAACAUCUUAUGCAAGUAAUGCUGUGUCAGCAGAGACUUCUUCUUCAUUGCAUCGAUGAGGUUAUUGCUGUGGCUAUGAUUUUGAAGGGGAUGAAGGCUACUACAGGGAAGGCGACAAUUUCUACUUUUGUUACUUUGGGAAAUAUUACAAGUGAGGUUGGGCCAAGGGCAACCUUUGCUAAUCUCUGUCACCUAUGAAAUUUGUAAAUGUAACACAGACACCUGAUAUGACAUCUUGGACCUUUAAAGAAGUAGUAAAUAUAACCCAGAAACCUAUGUUAAAGAUAGAGCUUAGUGUGAAUACUAGUAAUGAGAUUUUUGAACCGAGAGAACAGAAGGUGGAAGAGCAUGAUGCGGAUUCAUCUGUGACAGCUCAGAGGACAGCUUAGACGUGGAAGAGGAGUUUUUUGACUUUGACUGAACACCAGAAGACGUGACUGACCAUUAUCGUGUAUUAUAGAAGAUUCCUAGGUGUUACAAAUCGCAGACCCAGGAGCAGGUAGGAACUUAUGGUUCCAGCAGUUAACUCAUUCUGUAAGAUCGGUUAGGAAGCUGAAUUGUCCAUGUGUGGUGAACGUUCCAACACCAGGCACAUGGCCUUCAAUUUCAGAGACGGUACCAGGACCAUUAAGUCUUAAAUGUCAAUCAUAUGCAUUAUAGUGGCUGUUAUAUCAGCAGCAAUCAGCAGAAGAUAAGGUGAUGGCUCUGUCAGUGCAUCUGUUUAGACCUAGACAUAAUUGUUCUUGGUUGGGAGAAUAACCAUAUGUGAAUUUACUUGAUCAGUGUAACAUGAUAGGACCACUCAGACAUUCGCGGAUAAAAAGACCGAGGAGGCUUCACUGUUUGACUCAUCAAUCAAAAUUGUUGUCAGGAAACAGGCACAGAUCAAAUCCAGAAAGGGCAGCAAGAAACACAAACAUAACAACAGGCAAAAACAAUUCAAAAGGGGACAGGCAAAAACAGGUGAGUCAAAAUACAGAUGAAUAGUUAAAACUUGGAAAACACAACAUAGGAAAAAAAUGCUCAGUAGCUCUAGAAAGAAGCAAUACCUCACACUGAACUGUUCUAAAAGCCCAGGCUUUAUACUGAAGCUGAUGAGAGGUCACAGGUGUAACAGAUCAGUACUCAGGAGAGAGAGACCUGUGAUAGGAGCAUGGUGGAGGGUCAGGAGUCAUGUGAUCUCCCAGAGGAUUCUGGGAGAUGGAGUCCAGGGAAACCUCUGAGCCAUAGGGAUGCAUGACAAUCAGCAUGAAAAUAUGAUAACAGCAAUCCCUGAUCCAUUGGAGGUGAAAUCUGUGGGAUUUGUGGUGAUAAGGCAUAUAUAUUUCUACCAUAUGGGUGGAUAGGAUGCUGUUACAUGGCAACGUUGAAGCUUCCAUAUGAGGUUUUUACUGUCCAGAAGGGAAAAGUUUCUGAUGAGGUUCAAUCUGAUGCUAUUUCUGGAAAUAAGAAGAAAAGGGAACUGGCACAAUUUCAUAAUCUGGAGUCCUAUCAUUGGAGGAUAAGUCUAGGAGAGAAGUGGGGUAUAGGAUUAUUUCCAUGGUAUUGUGUGACAUUUUUGGCAGAUCACAUUGAUAAUAUUACCUACACCCUAUAGGGUUUUGCAAAUGAGACUAUAAGAGGUUUUGAAUACUUGUCAAAUACUCAAAAGAGUCAUAGACUGACGUUGCUGAAACAUGACAUGGCUCUUGAUUAUCUUUUGGCCAAACAAGGUGGCCUGUGUGUGGCUUUGAACUUAACUGGGGAUGCCUGUUAUACUUUGAUUCCUGAUAGUUUUGACAAGAUGACUAGUGUCACAGAUGUACUGAUGCAUAUAAGGGAGGCGUUUGGCCCAGCGGAAGGAGCUGGAUGGUCUGCGAAUGCUUGGUUGCAGGAGAAAUUAGGACCAUUGGGAGCAGUGUUAGUUCAGAUUAUGGUAGCAGUUCUUAUAUCAUUGAGUGUGAUGUUCUGUUUCUGUACAUUGUUGUUAACUUUUGCGAAGGCUAUGAUAUUCAGAUGGGUUGGUGUUGUGAUGCCUUGAGAUCAAGUUCAGAUGCCAUUACUACAUGGUACUGACACAGACGAUGAUAUGGAAAUAUCCAUUUUGAAUAUCUGUUCUUAUUAUAGUCUUGACAUUUAUUUCCAUUACUAUUUGGGUAUUUAGUAGUCUCUUACUAUAGAGUUAGAUGAUAGCAGGGGAAAUGAAAAGGUGACUUAUAACUUGGAAUAAUGUGAAAAUAUGAUAUUGUGAAUUUCACAAUUACUUAUAAGGUGUUAAUCCAUAUUUGAUGUUUCAAUUUGCAUCUGUUUUUUCGCAAAAGAUACUGGUUGGUGGUUUUCUUUUCUUUCCUUCAAGAAUGAAGUUGGGGGAAGACCACUGUAAGGGUGGUUGGAUGUUCGGGGACCCCGAUGUGCAUGGACAAUAAGACUGGACUGAAGGACUUUGAAUAAGGACACUGUGAUACAAUGCCCAGAGUCAACACAUCAUCGACGCUACAUUGAGAGUCAACGCUGCUGAGGAGCUGCAGUGUGAUACAUUUUUAUGUCUUCAUAUAUAUAUUUGCAUAGUAUUGGAUUAUAUUGUAAGGGGGGAUAUUGAUAGAGGACAUUUAUAAGGUAGUGAUAAUCUUAGUAAGACAUAUUAGAUUGAGUGUUUGAGUUGUUUAGUGCAUGAGUAGUACUUAAAUGUAUAACACUUUCUUUGGGUUUUAAUUGAUUGAAGACUGAUGUUUUCUGUUAUGGGGUAAGUACAUUGGGACCUCAGAUGUUUUUUUUCUUUUUUUGGGUGUUUAGGGAUAUUGGUGUUAGGCAGGGAAAGGUCCAUUGGAAGGUCCGAUGGGUUGACCAGCCUGAAUGUGGACAUUGUUUUGAUUUUAUUUUCUGAGGAUUCCAUAUGUAUUUGCUUAAGUCAUAUCUCUAUACAAUUUGUCAAAAUUCCUCUUUUUAAAGUAGUCUGGAGUAUUCUAUGUGGUCGCCUAAGGCAGAGGAGCCGUGAGAGAAUUUUUCCUGUCCAGAUUGUUUGAUGGACAUUUCAGGAUGAAUGCUCUCACACUCCAGAAAGUUGUUGCAUUGCUAAGGUUAUGCUGUAGGAAGCAUAUAUAGGAGGACCUGUUAUUUUGUUACAACCACAAAUAUGUAUGUGAUACCUUUUUGUUUUUCGAGACUUUGUGGAAGCCUCGAAGGGGGGAAUAUGAGGUGUAUUUAGAAGAAUAGUUUUAUAGAAGAAGGUAAAAACACUCUUAAACUUCUAUAAGUAUAAGGUGAGGUCUGAAGUCCUUUGUGUUAUCUGUCCUGCAGGAUUUGGAAUGUUUACGUUAAGGCCCCCCUGGUCCAGAGGGCACCUGGUCCAUAGGUCUAUCUCUUUGUUCCACAUAGAUGAGAUCAAUUUAAAAAGGGCCAUAUGUUCAGUUUGCUUUUUCAACAACAAGUAUCCUACAUAAGCAGCUGGUUUAUUCUGUUCUGGAGGGGACACAAUUGGCACGGAUCCUCUCUCAGAUUUCUCGGUCUGCGCAUGUGAGAAAACAGACGGCGGUACCAGAAAUAAGCAGCCUUCAGCACAGCACCUGCAAGACGGCAACAAAACACAUCUGGAGCGACACUGAAACCAAAUACAUGCUUGAUGAAAUGAAGGAUUUUAAUAUUCUUCUUCUUCUAGAUGAUGUGUGUUCAUACUUCCAGCUAUCGGAUUACUAAGUGCAUGUAAAUAAAAUCACUGAGAGGAACCAUCACUCAAGCAUUAAAAAGGCUCUAAUAAAAUGAGGAACAACCACUGCGAGGAACCAAGACUCACAAAAAAAACUGACAGGAACCAAAACUGAAAAGGAAAAAACUCCC